rnacentral:rRNA from 1 species
CCUACGGGAGGCAGCAGUGGGGAAUAUUGGGCAAUGGGAGAAAUCCUGACCCAGCAACGCCGCGUGGAGGAUUAAGGCCUUCGGGUUGUAAACUCCUGUCAGCAGGGAAAAAGGUUAUAAGAGCUAAUACCUUUUAUAGCUUGAUGGUACCUGCAGAGGAAGCACCGGCUAACUACGUGCCAGCAGCCGCGGUAAUACGUAGGGUGCAAGCGUUAUUCGGAAUCACUGGGCGUAAAGGGCGCGCAGGCGGUCUUGUAAGUCUAAAGUGAAAUCCUUGGGCUUAACCCAUGGGCUGCUUUAGAUACUGCAAAACUCGAGUUCGGGAAAAGCAAGCGGAAUUCCUGGUGAAGGGGUGAAAUCCGUAGAUAUCAGGAAGAACACCAGUGGCGAAAGCGGCUUGCUAGAACGCAACUGACGCUUAGGCGCGAAAGCGUGGGGAGCAAACAGGAUUAGAUACCCUGGUAGUCCACGCCCUAAACGAUGGAUGUUAGGCGUUGGGAAGUACACUUCUCAGUGCCGUAAGCUAACGCGUUAAACAUCCCGCCUGGGGAGUACGGUCGCAAGAUUAAAACUCAAAAGCUGAAUUGACGGACACCC